rnacentral:rRNA from 1 species
AUUGAACGCUGGCGGCAGGCUUAACACAUGCAAGUCGAGCGGAGACUUCGGUCUUAGCGGCGAACGGGUGAGUAAUACCUAGGAAUCUGCCUAUUAGUGGGGGAUAACGAAUCGAAAGGUUCGCUAAUACCGCAUACGUCCUACGGGAGAAAGGGGGGGAUCUUCGGACCUCUCGCUAAUAGAUGAGCCUAGGCCGGAUUAGCUAGUUGGUAGGGUAAAGGCCUACCAAGGCGACGAUCUGUAGCUGGUCUGAGAGGAUGGCCAGCCACACUGGAACUGAGACACGGUCCAGACUCCUACGGGAGGCAGCAGUGGGGAAUAUUGGACAAUGGGGGCAACCCUGAUCCAGCCAUGCCGCGUGUGUGAAGAAGGCCUCGGUUGUAAGACACUUAAGUACGAGGAGG